UACGUAGGCAGCGAGCGUUGUUCGGAGUUACUGGGCGUAAAGGGUGUGUAGGCGGUUAUUUAAGUUUGGUGUGAAAUCUCCCGGCUCAACCGGGAGGGUGCGCCGAAUACUGAAUGACUUGGAGUGCGGGAGAGGUGAGUGGAAUUCCUGGUGUAGCGGUGAAAUGCGUAGAUAUCAGGAGGAACACCGGUGGUGUAGACGGCUCACUGGACCGUAACUGACGCUGAGACACGAAAGCGUGGUAGCAAACAGG
rnacentral:rRNA from 1 species